rnacentral:rRNA from 1 species
AUUGAACGCUGGCGGCAGGCCUAACACAUGCAAGUCGAACGGAGCGGCGGACGGGUGAGUAAUGCUUAGGAAUCUGCCUGGUAGUGGGGGAUAACGUCCGGAAACGGGCGCUAAUAUCGCAUACUAUCAGAUGAGCCUGGGUCGGAUUAGCUAGUUGGUGGGGUAAAGGCCUACCAAGGCGACGAGCCGUAACUGGGCUGAGAGGAUGAUCAGUCAGACGGGAACUGAGACACGGUCCAGACUCCUACGGGAGGCAGGAGGGGGGAAUAUUGGACAAUGGGCGAAAGCCUGAUCCAGCCAUGCCGCGUGUGUGAAGAAGGUCUUCGGGUUUUAAAGCACUUUAAGUUGGGAGGCGUUACCAACAGAAUAAGCACCGGCUAACUUCGUGCCAGCCGCCGCGGUAAUAC